rnacentral:rRNA from 1 species
UACGUAGGGCGCAAGCGUUGUCCGGAAUUAUUGGGCGUAAAGAGCUCGUAGGCGGCUUGUCACGUCGGGUGUGAAAGCCCGGGGCUUAACCCCGGGUCUGCAUCCGAUACGGGCAGGCUAGAGUGUGGUAGGGGAGAUCGGAAUUCCUGGUGUAGCGGUGAAAUGCGCAGAUAUCAGGAGGAACACCGAUGGCGAAGGCAGGUCUCUGGGCCACUACUGACGCUGAGAAGCGAAAGCAUGGGGAGCGAACAGG